rnacentral:rRNA from 1 species
GCGCCGGUAAGGUGAUAUGAACCGUUAUAACCGGCGAUUUCCGAAUGGGGAAACCCAGUGUGAUUCGUCACACUAUCAUUAACUGAAUCCAUAGGUUAAUGAGGCGAACCGGGGGAACUGAAACAUCUAAGUACCCCGAGGAAAAGAAAUCAACCGAGAUUCCCCCAGUAGCGGCGAGCGAACGGGGAGGAGCCCAGAGCCUGAAUCAGCAUGUGUGUUAGUGGAAGCGUCUGGAAAGGCGCGCGAUACAGGGUGACAGCCCCGUACACAAAAGCGCAUGUGCUGUGAGCUCGAUGAGUAGGGCGGGACACGUGGUAUCCUGUCUGAAUAUGGGGGGACCAUCCUCCAAGGCUAAAUACUCCUGACUGACCGAUAGUGAACCAGUACCGUGAGGGAAAGGCGAAAAGAACCCCGGCGAGGGGAGUGAAAAAGAACCUGAAACCGUGUACGUACAAGCAGUGGGAGCACCCUUUUGGGUGUGACUGCGUACCUUUUGUAUAAUGGGUCAGCGACUUAUAUUCUGUAGCAAGGUUAACCGAAUAGGGGAGCCGUAGGGAAACCGAGUCUUAACCGGGCGUUAAGUUGCAGGGUAUAGACCCGAAACCCGGUGAUCUAGCCAUGGGCAGGUUGAAGGUUGGGUAACACUAACUGGAGGACCGAACCGACUAAUGUUGAAAAAUUAGCGGAUGACCUGUGGCUGGGGGUGAAAGGCCAAUCAAACCGGGAGAUAGCUGGUUCUCCCCGAAAGCUAU